AGUGAACGCUGGCGGUAGGCCUAACACAUGCAAGUCGAACGGCAGCACAGUAAUAGCUUGCUCUUACGGGUGGCGAGUGGCGGACGGUUGAGGAAUACAUCGGAAUCUACUUUUUCGUGGGGGAUAACGUAGGGAAACUUACGCUAAUACCGCAUACGACCUACGGGUGAAAGCAGGGGAUCUUCGGACCUUGCGCGAUUGAAUGAGCCGAUGUCGGAUUAGCUAGUUGGCGGGGAAAAGGCCCACCAAGGCGACGAUCCUUAGCUGGUCUGAGAGGAUGAUCAGCCACACGGGACUUGAGAAACGGCCAAGCCUCCUACGGGAGGCAGAAGGGGGGAAUAUUGGAAAAUGGGCGAAAGCCUGAUCCAGCCAUACCGCGGGGGGGAAGAAGGCCUUCGGGUUGUAAAGCCCUUUUGUUGGGAAAGAAAAGAAGCAGGUUAAUACCCCGCUGUUCGGACGGGCCAAAAAGAAUAAGCACCGGCUAACUUCGU
rnacentral:rRNA from 1 species